UAGGGAAUCUUCCGCAAUGGGCGAAAGCCUGACGGAGCAACGCCGCGUGAGUGAUGAAGGUCUUCGGAUCGUAAAACUCUGUUAUUAGGGAAGAACAAAUGUGUAAGUAACUAUGCACGUCUUGACGGUACCUAAUCAGAAAGCCACGGCUAACUACGUGCCAGCAGCCGCGGUAAUACGUAGGUGGCAAGCGUUAUCCGGAAUUAUUGGGCGUAAAGCGCGCGUAGGCGGUUUUUUAAGUCUGAUGUGAAAGCCCACGGCUCAACCGUGGAGGGUCAUUGGAAACUGGAAAACUUGAGUGCAGAAGAGGAAAGUGGAAUUCCAUGUGUAGCGGUGAAAUGCGCAGAGAUAUGGAGGAACACCAGUGGCGAAGGCGACUUUCUGGUCUGUAACUGACGCUGAUGUGAGAAAGCGUGGGGAUCAAACAGG
rnacentral:rRNA from 1 species